rnacentral:rRNA from 1 species
CUUGAUAGAUGUCGGGAUGCUCUACACAUGCAAGUCGAAAGAGUGGCGGACGGGUGAGUCAUAUAUCAGAAAGUGCCCAUUAGCGGGGGAUAACUACUCGCAAGAGUGGCUAAUACCGCAUACUAUUGGAGAGGCCGAUAUCGGAUUAGCUAGUUGGUGGGGUAACGGCCCAACAAGGCAACGAUCCGUAGCUGGUUUGAGUGGAAGACCAGGCAAACUGGAACCGAGACACGGCCCAGAUUCCUACGGGAGGCAGCAGUGGGGAAUUGUGGACAAUGGGUGAAACCCUGAUCCAGCCAUCCCGCUAGAAUGAGAAGGCAUUCGGGUUGUAAAGUACGUUUAGCAGAGAGGCAGAAUCUGCAGAAUAAGCACCGUCUAUCUACGUGCCAGCAGCCGCGGUAAUAC